AUUCUCUACAAUAAUUCUAUACUUUCCUUAUUUCCUAAAAUCCCCAACUCUCUCAUCCUUUCCCAUCACCUUUUACUUUACUGAGAAGAUUGAGGUCAUUCAAGAUGGAAUUUUUCAAUUCCAUUCCUUUAUACUGAUCUAUUUUCCCCUCGUAAUAGUGAAAUUAGAAAGAGAAGCAUAAGAUGAACAGUUGGCACAUGCCAAAGAAUUUUGGAGAAAGGUUUCUAGAAGCCAGGAGAGAGAGAGAAGGCUUAACGGAUAGACAACUGACACUUGAUCGUUGGUUUUGGACUGAUUUUUUGGAUCAUGGUCCUACCCCAGCAGAGGGAGGAAGAGCUACUUCUAGGAGCUUUUCCUAUCUCAGGUCUUUGGUGAACAAAAGACAAUCCUUCAAUCCUUCCCUGUGAUUCCUGACCAGCUGAAGAGCAGUUUGGAGCAGAUCUGAUUAUCCCUGCUGUCUGGAUCCAAUCAUUAUGACAAAGAAUAAAAAAGGAGAAGGCAAAACAGUUCAAGAAAACUGGAAAACAUAUUUUUUAAAAUCUGAUAUAUGAAAUUUUCCAAAAUCAUAGUCACUUCACCUCAACAAGGAAGCAAGGGGAUGCAUCUUUUCUUAUCUUUUGGGGCCUUGGUUAGUUAUAAUGAUUUUGUAGCAUUUACUUUUGUUUUUUUGUUCUGUUUACUUGUAUUCUAUUGUGUUUGUCGUGCAACACAAAUAUUGUUAAGGUAACAUUUUCUUGUUUCAACUUAUUUCUUUUUGCCUCUGCAUUUGCCAUAUUCAUCAUUUCUUAAAGUAGAGUAAUAUUCCAUUACUUUUAUGUCAUAGUUUGGCUAGCCAUGGCCCCAAUUAAUGAACAUCUACUUUGUCUCCAAUUCUUUGCUAUAAUACAUGUUACCAAUGAUGAUUUGUGUGUAAGAAAUGAUGCAGAAGAUGUCAAUAAACACAUGAAUGGCUAGCAAGGAAA